rnacentral:rRNA from 1 species
UGGGCAACCUGCCCCUCUCUCUGGGAUAACCCCGGGAAACCGGAGCUAAUACCGGAUACUCCGGCUGGAUCGCAUGGUCCGGCCGGGAAAGGUCCGCCGGUCAGGGAUGGGCCCGCGGCCUAUCAGCUUGUUGGCGAGGUAACGGCUCACCAAGGCGACGACGGGUAGCUGGUCUGAGAGGACGACCAGCCACACUGGAACUGAGAUACGGUCCAGACUCCUACGGGAGGCA